rnacentral:rRNA from 1 species
GGGGACUAUUGGACAAUGGGCGCAAGCCUGAUCCAGCCAUGCCGCGUGGGUGAAGAAGGCCUUCGGGUUGUAAAGCCCUUUUGUAUGGAAAGACAAGCAGCCGGCCCAUACCCGGUUGUUCUGACGGUACCCAACGAAUAAGCACCGGCUAACUUCGUGCCAGCAGCCGCGGUAAUACGAAGGGUGCAAGCGUUACUCGGAAUUACUGGGCGUAAAGCGUGCGUAGGUGGUGGUUUAAGUCCGUUGUGAAAGCCCUGGGCUCAACCUGGGAACUGCAGUGGAUACUGGAUCACUAGAGUGUGGCAUAGGGUAGUGGAAUUCCCGGUGUAGCAGUGAAGUGCGUAGAGAUCGGGAGCAACAUCAGUGGCGAAGGAGACUGCCUGGGCCAACACUGACACUGAGGCACGAAAGCGUGGGGAGCAAACA